AAUAUAAAGGAGGGUCUUGAAUGGAUGACGUGUCAUGUCUUAGGAUCCUCCCUCUAAUUUUUCUCUUUUUCUAGCACUUCCGGAUUUUUGCUGUUUUCGUUUUAUUGAAACCCUUUUUUAAAAUCUCAUUAAUUAUUCAGUUACAGAAUUUUGGCUUUUCAUUUUGCACGAUCUUUUGCUUUCCAUGCCUUCAGAGCCAGUCUGAGCCAGUCUUCUCUCUCAAUCACUUUUAUCGUCACAGUCAUCACCUUUCUUCUAAGGGUUUUCAGUUCAUCUUUUCAUUAUGCAGAGGAGCCUCAUGAGGGUGAUCACUGUUGAAUGCGGCCUUGGUGCUUCAGAUACCUGUUUUCAUGAAUAUAAGAAGCUUUUUGGUUUAAAAGUCUGCUAUAAUGUUAUCAGCAAGUGAUUAGUGAUAUAUGGCAUCUUCCAAAAUCCUCCUUUUAGGCUUUUAGGUGAUAAGCCUCCGUUCUCACAGCAGAAUUUACAAGGCCAAGGAAUGGAUCCUGGUUAAGAUUCGGGACAAUGAAAGGUUAAUAUGAUCGGAUCGUCUGGUGACUCUUUACUGUCUAGCAGUAUAGUCUUGAUUAACCAUUGCCCAGUCAUCUCCGAGCAUAUGCACUGUAUGUGAAAAUAUUAUAACAACAACUUUUUCCGUGAUCUCUGUCUACUUAAAAAAGUAAUUACCCAGGUGGAGGCAGAUGAUCCUGCUACUAUUAAUGCCAUCAAAGUGUCUGCUGCUGUUCAACUCAAGGUUCUGCUCUUUCUUUUUAUAUUUAUCUACUUCUUUCUAUUCUUUUGUUUACUCUUAAAUUUUGUUUAAGUUGAUAGCUUUGCUGAUAUGGGUUCCGGAUUGAAUGUUGUGCCAUGUGACUUUUUUUGUUAGUUUUGUUUGAGUUGAUUGUUUUUGUGUAUGUGUGAUCUGAUUGUGUUAGAGGGAAGUUUUCAGAGCUAAAGUUGUUAUUUUCUUCACCACUUUCUAAUUGUUAGUAUAAAUUAUUAUUGUUUUUUACGGUGAUCAUAACCGCUGAUUUUCUGAGCCAGUAGGCUGAUUUUUCUUUCACGGAUGAUGAGUAAUUGAUUGUCGCAAACAAGUUCUGAUCUUUUCUUCAACUGGGCUUGGCUCAAGUUUGGGUUGUUUCCACUGUGUGUGUGUGUGUGUGCACGAGUGGUUUUUAACUUUGAGUGGUUACUAAAUUUAUAUUAUCAUUUUGGUCUUCUUGAGUUUUGUUCAUCAGAUAGGAUUUUAGGCUAAUUUAAAAAAGGCCUUUGUCUUUAUUACGGUUUGGGAGUUGGAUUUGGUUGGAACGUCCUAAUUUAUGGUAAUUUUAUGUUGACAUGAUUACAUGUUUGUUAAGUGAGUCAAGGUUUGUGUGGUCAAAUUCUAGAUUAAUUUGGAGAAAGAUUGAGGACUGUUGUGGAUUAUUCGGUGAUUUCAGUAUACAGAGCUUUGGGGUUUCUUAUGAAAUGUUAAUUUAUUUUGUGAGGGUCGAUUGAGUAGAGUGGAAUUUCAGUAUACAUGUGGUCACUGCAAAUCUCCCCAAAUUUUGACUAGAAGUUAAUAUUGAUUUAACUUAUUCAUUGGAAUUUAUAUUGGUUGGGGGACUAGAUUAUUGUAUUUGAAACUAUGGCCGUCUCUUUAACUAGAUUUUCUUGGUGGGUAUGGGGUGGAAAAGAGAAAGAGCCUGUUGUGCAUAAUGGUUCUUCACUGAACUCCUCUUCUGAUUGGGGUUUGGGGAUGAGGGAAAUGGAUUUUUUGGAAAUUUUCAUCUGCAAAGGGGGCUAAGAUGGC